CUAGAGAAAGAGGGAUACACCCCCUCCUCAACGAC
rnacentral:tRNA from 1 species